rnacentral:rRNA from 1 species
UGGUGGAGUGAUUUGUCUGGUUAAUUCCGAUAACGAACGAGACUCUGUCCUGCUAAAUAGUUCCAGCGUCGCUUGCUGCGCUGGAAAUUCUUCUUAGAGGGACUGGUGGCGUCUAGCCACACGGGAUUGAGCAAUAACA